rnacentral:lncRNA from 1 species
UCCAAAUAGGAAAGUCAAUAAACAGCUGACAUUUACCAAUGCCUUGCUUCCGGGUUAUUUUUUCUCCACUCUCCAGAUGUUCUGAAAUGUGUGGUUCCAGAUGCGUCACCUCCAACAGGAUGAUCCCACUCCCCUGGACUGCAUUGCACAAACUUGCGCCAGCAGCACACCAGGGGGACGCCGAAGUUGGAAAGUCUGCAGCGGAGGAGAGUGGGGCGUUGCCUGAGACUGGCUCCUACAGAUUGUGGAGGUUUUCUGAGGUCUUCAAGGAGUAGUUUCUGGUGGAAGGUGCUUUGCACAGGGAUGAAUGUUGUCAGCAGAUAGAGUGGAGAGAGUUACUCCUGAUUGAUGGCCAGGAGACCAAGAGGAAGUGGGUACCUGAGCAGCAGGAUUACUGGAGCCACGGAGAUGAGCUACAUCCAGAUUCUUUUUUUUUUUUUUUUUUUUUGCCUUUUCUAGGGCCACACCUGCAGCAUAUGGAGAUUCCCAGGCUAGGGGUCAAAUCGGAGCUGUAGCUGCCAACCUACGCCAGAGCCACAGCCACGUGGGAUCCGAGCCGCGUCUGUGACCUACACCACAGCUCACAGCAAUUCUGGAUCCUUAACCCAGUGAGCAAGGCCAGGGAUCGAACCAUCCACCUCAUGGUUCCUAGUUGGAUUCGUUAACUACUGAGCCACGACAGGAACUCCUACAUCCAGAUUCUGACUACGCAAACCAGCAUGGUCUCCAGGAGAGCAGCAGCCUGACCCUCACAGCCACGUGUGCAAUGCAGGUCUCCCACCAAGAGUACUGAGAAUUUAUAACAUUUAAUCUUUGGCAAUUUAAUGAAUUUAAAUGACAUGUUUUUGGUGUUUUGUUUGUGUGUUGUUUGUUUUGGUCAUGCCCUUGGCAUGCAGAAGUUCCCAAGCCAGAGAUCGAUCCUAAGCCACGGCAGUGACAACACCAGAUCCUGAACCUGCCAAGCCACCAAGGAACUCUAUGGCAUAUUUUAUUUUCGUUUUGUACCUUAAAAAGUGAUUUUUUUUUACAUAUUGAUAAAUAUCCAUGUUCUUCCUCAGUAAAGUAUCCGUCUAUAUCUCCUAAAAAAAAAAAAAAAAAGGAAUAAUAGUGGAUCGUAAUCUAUAUAGUAAGGAUGUUAACUUUUUAGUUUCAUGUUUGUUGCAGAUCUUUCUUCAUUUGGCACUUGCAUCUAGUUCAGACUAUGAUUUUUGAUGUAAAAAAUAUUUAAACUUUAGGAGUUCCCAUCGUGGCUCAGUGGUUAACAAACAUGACUAG